rnacentral:rRNA from 1 species
GCAAGUCGAGCGGUAACACAAGGGAGCUUGCCCCUGAGGUGACGAGCGGCGGACGGGUGAGUAAUGCCUAGGUAUCUGCCCAGUCGAGGGGGAUAACAGUUGGAAACGACGGCUAAUACCGCAUGAGCCCUACGGGGGAAAGGGGGGGACCUUCGGGCCUUUCGCGAUUGGAUGAACCUAGGUGGGAUUAGCUAGUAGGUGGGGUAAUGGCUCACCAAGGCGACGAUCCCUAGCUGUUCUGAGAGGAUGAUC